rnacentral:rRNA from 1 species
UACGAAGGGGGCUAGCGUUGCUCGGAUUGACUGGGCGUAAAGGGCGCGUAGGCGGUUUGUACAGUCAGACGUGAAAUUCCCGGGCUCAACCUGGGGGCUGCGUUUGAUACGUGCAGACUUGAGUUCGGAAGAGGGUCGUGGAAUUCCCAGUGUAGAGGUGAAAUUCGUAGAUAUUGGGAAGAACACCGGUGGCGAAGGCGGCUUUCUGGCCUGUUCUUGACGCUGAGGCGCGAAAGCUAGGGGAGCAAACGGG